rnacentral:rRNA from 1 species
AGCUCCAAAAGCGUAUAUUAAAGUUGUUGCGGUUAAAAAGCUCGUAGUUGGACUUCUGCUGGGGCUGGCUGGUCUACCCGCUGGGUGAGUAUCUGGCAUAGCCUGAGCAUCUGUUUGAAAUAUGCUACUGCACUUGACUGUGUGGUGUGGUAUUUAUCGCUUUUACUUUGAGAAAAUCAGAGUGUUCCACGCAGGCGCAUGCCUUGUAUAUGUGAGCAUGGAAUAAUGUUUCAGGGCUUUGGUUUUUUGUUGGUUUUUAAAACCAGGGUAAUGGUGAAUAGGGAUAGUUGGGGGCACUUGUAUUUAAUUGUCAGAGGUGAAAUUCUUGGAUUUGUUAAAGACAAACUACUGCGAAAGCAUUUGCCAAAGAUGUUU